rnacentral:rRNA from 1 species
GAUGAACGCUGGCGGCGUGCUUAACACAUGCAAGUCGAACGGAAAGGCCCUGCUUUUGUUGGGCGCUUGUGUGCCGCACGGGUGUGUAACACGCGAGUAACCCGUCCUUGACUUUGUGAUAACUCCUGGAAACAGGGGCUCAUACCGCAUAUGAGCUUCUGCUCCGUGUUGUUGGUUGGAAAGUUUCGGCGGUUGGGGGUGGUCUCGCAGCUUAACGGCUUGUUGGUGGAGUUGUUGCUUGCCCAGGCUUCGACGGGUACCCGGCCUGAGCGGGUGACCGGCCACACUGGGACCGAGGGAAGGCACAGGCUCCUACGGGACGCAGCAGUGGGGAAUAUUGCACGAGGAGCGGAAGCCUGAUGCAGCAACGCCGCGUGCGGGAAAACGGCGUUCGGGUUGUAAACCGCUUUCGCCUGUGACGAAGCGUGAGUGACGGUAAUGGAUAAAGAAGCACCGGCUAACUACGUG